GUCUACGGCCAUCUCACCCUAAACGAGCCCGAUCCCGAUCCCGUCUGAUCUCGGAAGCUAAGCAGGGUAGGGCCUGGUUAGUACUUGGAUGGGAAACCACCUAGGAAGACCAGGUGCUGUAGGCG
rnacentral:rRNA from 1 species